GCUUCAGUUGUGGAUGGAAAGCCCAAAAGUUCAGUUAACAUUUGAGAACAGUUUACCAGAAAUAGAAGCCCCAUAUAAUAGUGACGUACCUUUUAUAAUGAGAGUGCACGCGUACCUGGAGAGGCAUGGCUACAUCAAUUACGGCGUCUACAAACGACUCAAACCUUUGCCAGCAAAACAAGGAGGGAAAGUGUUGAUCAUUGGUGCUGGGAUCUCAGGCUUGGUAGCAGCAA